UACAGAGGUGGCAAGCGUUGUUCGGAAUUACUGGGCGUAAAGGGCGCGUAGGCGGCCAUCUAAGUCAGACGUGAAAUCCCCGGGCUCAACCCGGGAACUGCGUCCGAGACUGAAAGGCUUGAAUCCGGGAGAGGGAUGUGGAAUUCCAGGUGUAGCGGUGAAAUGCGUAGAUAUCUGGAGGAACAUCGGUGGCGAAGGCGGCAUCCUGGACCGGUAUUGACGCUGAGGCGCGAAAGCCAGGGGAGCAAACGGG
rnacentral:rRNA from 1 species